rnacentral:misc_RNA from 1 species
GGUUUUGUACCCGAUGCAUUGGUGGGCCCCCUGCUUCCGUGCAGUCAACCCCAAGUGCAAAUGGGAUGUUUCAUUUGGAAAAUCCCUCUGCGUGGCUCAGCUCGAUGCGGAGGGCGUAUUUGGUUGGUUGUAUUGCAUAGCUGGGACGCAGCGAGAUGGUGAUCCGACAUUAAUAACAUGUUGUUCUACUCUCUCCCCACCCCCCUCCCCCCACCCUCGAUGGGCGGGUGAGAAGUGGCCUCUUAUGAUGUCCCGUGCGUCCUCGGUGGCGUGUGUGGCCGCAUAUGUGUGUGCAGCCUGUGCCGUCCGUUUGGCCCUCAGGACCUCUGUGUGCUUAUGGAUGCAGUGAAUUGGGUUGGCUCGAGUGUCUCCACGGGGCUCCCGACCUGUGAGCAGAAGGCAUUUGGUGUUUGUGUAUGCCGUGAGUGGGCAAAUAAGGAAACGGAAGGCAUUAAGUGUUUGUGCACGCCGUGACCUGGCAAAUGAGGAAAUGGAAGGUAUUUUGAGUUUGCGCACGCGGCGAGCGGGCAAACUAUUGACCGAGCGGAACAGAUUGGAAUAAACGACUGCCGGCAUGUGUGGUUGUCUCGUCGUCUCGGCGAAGAGACGGGGUCGCUUGCGGGCGUCGUCCUGGAGGGUUUGCUACCUGU